rnacentral:rRNA from 1 species
CGACAAGGCCUAACACAUGCAAGUCGAGGGCAGCACAAGGAGCAAUCUGAGGUGGCGACCGGCGCACGGGUGAGUAACACGUAUGCAACCUGCCUGUAAGCGGGGAAUAACCCGUUGAAAGACGGACUAAUACCGCAUAAUACUAAAUUACUGCAUGGUAAUUUAUUUAAACAUUUAUGGCUUACAGAUGGGCAUGCGCAUGAUUAGCUAGUUGGAGAGGUAACGGCUCCCCAAGGCAACGAUCAUUAGGGGUUCUGAGAGGAAGGUCCCCCACACUGGUACUGAGACACGGACCAGACUCCUACGGGAGGCAGCAGUGAGGAAUAUUGGUCAAUGGACGAGAGUCUGAACCAGCCAAGUCGCGUGCAGGAAGAAUGUCCUUAAUGGAUUGUAAACUGCUUUUGCAGGGGAAUAAAGUGCAUCACGUGUGAUGUUUUGUAUGUACUCUGCGAAUAAGGAUCGGCUAACUCCGUGCCAGCCGCUGC